rnacentral:lncRNA from 1 species
CACUGAGCUGUCCUGGGGCGUUUGCUGGGAGGGGAGAGGAUUUGGCCAAGUCCCCUCCUGGCCCCAGGGGACCUGGGUGACCCCUCCUGCCCGUGCUGUGGCCGGGGGGGGGGGACAUGGGGGUGCACAGGAGCUGCUGUAGGUUGAGCUGUCACAGGAGAACCUGCUGCUCCCCUCCCUGGGGGUUCCAGCAGGUCCCCAAAGGUGGCCCCCAUAAAGGGGCCACCACACAGCCCUUCCCCACAGCGGCAGGGACACGGGGAGAGAGGGGACAUGUGCCACCGGUGUCCAGCUGUGGCCCAGGGGCCAUGGUGGCCCUCCCUCACCCCUCUGUGAGGCAAGGGGCUGGGGCUGGGGAGAGGAGCUUGGUUUAGCUCAGAUCUUCCCUCUAAUCCCCCACAACAGCUGCCUGCACCCAGGAAACACCGAUUCGGGGUGUCAUCCUCCCUCCCUCCGCACCAACCGGGCUGCAGCAGCUCAGGGCACCCCCCUCAUCCUCACCAAGCGCCUUCAUCCAGCCCUGCUUGAGAGCAGCCCUGAGGAGAAGGACUUGGGGGUGGUGGUGGGUGAGAAGCUCCACAGGCCCCAGCAACGUGCACUGGCAGCCCAGAAACCCCCCACCCCCUGGGCUGCUUCCCCAGCCCUGUGGUCAGCAGGGCCAGGGGGGGAUUCUGCCCCUCUGCUCCGCUCUGGGGAGACCCCCCCCCACCCAGUGCUGCCUCCAGCUCUGGGGCCACCAACAGCAGAAGGACAUGGACCUGCUGGAGCGGGGCCAGAGGAGGCCCCGGAGAUGCUGGGAGGGCUGGAGCCCCUCUGCUGGGAGGGGGGGCUGAGAGAGUUGGGGGGGUUCAGCCUGGAGAAGAGAAGGCUCUGGGGAGACCUUGGAGCCCCUUCCAGUCCCUCAAGGGGCUCCAGGAGAGAUGGGGAGGGACUCUGGAUGAGGGAGGGGAGCCCUAGGAGGAGGGGGAAGGGUUUGACCCUGAAAGAGGGGAGAUGGAGCUGAG